rnacentral:rRNA from 1 species
AAGGCACACGGUGGAUGCCUUGGCGCCUGCGGCCGAUGAAGGACGUGGCCACGCGACGAUACGCCUCGGGGAGCGGCGGGCACGCAAUGAUCCGAGGAUGUCCGAAUGGGGCAACCCGGCGGAGGUGGACCUCCGUCAUCCCCGGCUGAACACAUAGGCCGGGUGAAGGGCACCGGGGGAAGUGAAACAUCUGAGUACCCCGAGGAAAAGAGAGUAUUCCCGGAGUAGUGGCGAACGAAACGGGAGAAGCCGAAACCAGACGGCUGGCACAGCCUGCCGGCGAUGGUCGUCUGGGGUUGGACGGGCCUGGAGCGGGGGCGGCAGCACCCGCACCGAGUUAUCAAUCCGCCGCUUACCCGAAGGCCACUGGAACGGGCCACCGAAGAGGGCGAGCGUCCCGUAGGGGAAAAGCGACGGACUCGGUCAGGAAUCCGGGAGUACGGCGGGACACGUGAUAUCCCGCCGGAAGCAGGGGGGACCACCCUCCAAGGCUAAAUACCGCAGGCGACCGAUAGCGAACAGUACCGUGAGGGAAUGGUGAAAAGCACCCCGGCGCGGGGAGUGAAAUAGAUCCUGAAACCGUGUGCCGACAUACUGUCAGAGGCUGUUGCCCGGCCUACGGGACGGGCAGGCUGAUGGCGUGCUUUUUGUAGAACGAACCGGCGAGUGACCGUCUGUGGCGCGGUUGAGGGAGUGAUACCCGGCGCCAGAGGGAAACCGAGUCCGAACAGGGCGAGCGAUAGCUUCGGCUAUCACGUCGCGGGCGGUCGACCCGAAACCAGGUGAUCUACCCAUGGCCAGGGUGAAGCGCGUGUAAGAGCGCGUGGAGGCCCGCACCGACGUCUGUUGCAAAAGGCGCGGAUGAGCUGUGGGUAGGGGUGAAAUGCCAAGCGAACCUGGAGAUAGCUGGUUCUCCCCGAAAUGGCUUUAGGGCCAGCCUCGAUGUCAGGCGACGCCGGAGGUAGAGCACUGGAUGGGCGAUGGGGCUUCCCGCUUACUGACCCCAACCAAACUCCGAAUGCCGGCGCCGAUCCAUCGGGAGUGAGACGGCGGGAGCUAAGUUUCGUCGUCGAGAGGGAAACAGCCCGGACCGCCGGCUAAGGUCCCCAAGUCUGGCCUAAGUGGACAAGGCUGUCAGCGUGCACAGACAACCAGGAGGUUGGCUUAGAAGCAGCCACCCUUGAAAGAGUGCGUAAUAGCUCACUGGUCGAGUGCGCUGGCGCCGACAAUGUACCGGGGCUCAAGGCCAGCACCGAAGCCGCGGAUAGGAUGCAGCAAUGCAUCGUAUGGUAGGGGAGCGUCGUCGUCAGCAGAGAAGGUCGAGCGGGAGCACGGCUGGAGCGGCGACGAGUGCGAAUGCCGGUAUGAGUAGCGCAAGGGCGGUGAGAAUCCGCCCCACCGAAUGCCCAAGGGUUCCGCAGCCAUGCUGAUCAGCUGCGGGUGAGUCGGGCCUAAGCCGAGGCCGCAAGGCGUAGGCGAUGGACAACGGGUGAAUAUUCCCGUACCACAGAUCCCCGUUACGAGCGAUGGGGGGACGCAGGGCGGCAGGCCCAGCGGAGCAAUCCGUCCAAGCCGGUAGGGAGCCGCGGGAGGCAAAUCCCCCGCGACGAUGACCGAGAGGCGAUGGCGAGGUCGGGGGACACCCCGGCCAAGUGGGUUGGGCCUGAACUGCCAGGAAAAGCCUCUAGCCAGGUGAUCUGUGCCCGUACCGCAAACCGACACAGGUGGGCAGGUCGAAUAGACCAAGGUGGACGGGAGACCCCUCGUUAAGGAACUCGGCAAAUUACCACCGUAACUUCGGGAGAAGGUGGGCCCCGGUACCGUGAUGGUUCCUCGCGAACCGGAGCGGGAGGGGGUUGCAGUGAAGCGGCCCAGGCGACUGUUUACCAAAAACACAGGUCUCUGCGAACGGGAAACCGGACGUAUAGGGGCUGAUGCCUGCCCAGUGCCGGAAGGUUAAGGGGAGGGGUUCACGCUCUGAACCGAAGCCCCGGUAAACGGCGGCCGUAACUAUAACGGUCCUAAGGUAGCGAAAUUCCUUGUCGGGUAAGUUCCGACCCGCACGAAAGGCAUAACGAUCUGGGCGCUGUCUCAACGAGGGACCCGGUGAAAUUGAACUGUCCGUGAAGAUGCGGACAACCCGCGGCAGGACAAAAAGACCCCGUGGAGCUUUACUCCAGCUUGCCAUCGGGCGUAGAUCUGGCUUGUGUAGGAUAGGUGGGAGCCAAUGAACCCGGGACGCCAGUCCCGGGGGAGGCGGCGGUGAAAUACCACUCUGGCCAGGUCGGCGCUCUCACCUGCGGCCGUUAUCCGGCGCGGGGACAGUGGCUGGCGGGGAGUUUGACUGGGGCGGUCGCCUCCUAAACAGUAACGGAGGCGCCCAAUGGUCCCCUCAGGCCGGAUGGAAAUCGGCCGGAGCGUGCACUGGCAGCAAGGGGGCUUGACUGCGAGGGUGACCACCCGAGCAGGGACGAAAGUCGGGCAGAGUGAUCCCACGGUCCCGCGUGGAAGGGCCGUGGCGUAACGGAUAAAAGCUACCCCGGGGAUAACAGGCUGAUGUUGCCCAAGAGUCCAUAUCGACGGCAGCGUUUGGCACCUCGAUGUCGGCUCGUCUCAUCCUGGGGCUGGAGGCGGUCCCAAGGGUUGGGCUGUUCGCCCAUGAAAGAGGUACGCGAGCUGGGUUCAGAACGUCGUGAGACAGUUCGGUCUCUAUCCGCCGUGGGCGCAUAGAAGGUUGCGGGGGGCUGGCCCUAGUACGAGAGGACCGGGCUGGACAGACCGCUGGUGUGCCAGUUGUCGGACAUCCGGCAGCGCUGGGUAGCUACGUCUGGCAGGGAUAACCGCUGACAGCAUCUAAGUGGGAAGCCCACCCCAAGAUGAGCCUUCUCAUCAUUACAGAGUAAGACCCCCGGAAGACGACCGGGUUAAGAGGCGGCCGGUGGACAGCGGGUAACCGACUGGAGCCAAGCCGUCCUCAUGGUCGAGGGCGGUUCUU